rnacentral:rRNA from 1 species
AUGGAGAGGAUCACUCAAAUGAACGAUGAAGUCAGCACACCGAUUCUUGAAGAGGUCUCACCGUCAGAUCUCUUCUUGACCAAGGAGGAUGCUGAUGUGACAUUUGAGGUGGGUGGCAAUACAUUCCCUGCGCACCGGUGUAUAAUUGCUGCCCAGUCCAAUAGAUAUGAUAUCCGGGAGAUGAAAUUGAUAUGUCAAAACAAGUUACGGGAGUGCAUUGACGUGAGCAUGGUGGCUGGCAUUCUUGCUCUAGCUGAGCAGCACGAUUGCCCUAGGUUGAAGGAGGCAUGCUUGGAGUUCCUCAAAACUCCUGCGAAUUUGCAGGAAGUCAAAGUAUGUUCUGAAGUAGCCUUGGAGCAUAUAGUUUUAACGUUCCCCUCUGUUGUCAAGGAGCUCUUGCCCGAGUUCUUCUUCUUCAGAUCAAACCAAGCUAAGUUUUCUCCGGUCCCCAUCCUAUGCCACCAAACCUUCGUCUGCUCCGGAUCCGGCAGCGAGCCAAGAACAGAAACCUACAUAGAUGAGAUUACCAUGGGGCUCAACCCAACAGGAGUCGAGAAGAACAUCCGUAGUAGAUAUCCAAGCGCCAAAUCAGCCGAUCCGACGUGGCCAGCGGGGAAGACCACCACCCCGCGCCGGCCGACCGCGUCCGGCAUCAGAUCGAGAUCCGAUCUGAACCUGGCGGCACCGGCAACCACCUAG